AGAAACGAAGUAGGGCGCACAAGGCGACGACGGGUAGCCGGCCUGAUAGGGCGAUCGGGCAUACUGGGACUGAAACACGGUUCAGACUCCUACGGGAGGCAGCAGUGGGGAAUAUUGCCCAAUGGGCGAAAGCCUGGAGCAGCGACGCCGCGUGAGGGAUGACGGCCUUCGGGUUGUAAACCUCUUUCAGCUCCGCAAAAAGCGAAAGUGACGGUACCUGCAGAAGAAGCGCCGGCUAACUACGUGCCAGCAGCCGCGGUAAUACGUAGGGCGCAAGCGUUGUCCGGAAUUAUUGGGCGUAAAGAGCUCGUAGGCGGCUUGUCACGUCGGUUGUGAAAGCCCGGGGCUUAACCCCGGGUCUGCAGUCGAUACGGGCAGGCUAGAGUUCGGUAGGGGAGAUCGGAAUUCCUGGUGUAGCGGUGAAAUGCGCAUUAUAUCAGGAGGAACACCGGUGGCGAAGGCGGAUCUCUGGGCCGAUACUGACGCUGCGGAGCGAAAGCGUGGGGAGCGAACAGGAUUAGAUACCCUGGUAGUCCACGCCGUAAACGGUGGGCACUAGGUGUGGGCAACAUUCCACGUUGUCCGUGCCGCAGCUAACGCAUUAAGUGCCCCGCCUGGGGAGUACGGCCGCAAGGCUAAAACUCAAAGGAAUUGACGGGGGCCCGCACAAGCGGCGGAGCAUGUGGCUUAAUUCGACGCAACGCGAAGAA
rnacentral:rRNA from 1 species